AACAGGUACGCCAAGCGUACGUUACUAUGUAAAUAUAAAUUUGUUUAAUCAUUAUAUUAUUGUACAUAAAUGACGUUAUCCUUAGAAUUAAAUAUAAAUGAAUUAGUAAUUUGUUCCGCUUUAUGAAUUCCAACUGUUCAAACUUGCUUGCACGUCACUGUAAAGAAAGAAGGCUUAAGAAAGGAAACGAUAAAACUGCGCCUGGGAGAUAGGCAAUUGAAAUACAGCAUUACGCAAUUUAAUUCGCGAGGUCAAGAAGAGAAAUUCUCGGAUUAACGGAUCGAGAACCGAAGGUCAAAUUCACUUCGUGUCCUUGGAUUUGAUGGGAAAGUGGGAAGGCAAGAUCUGAUGAAGCCUGCAUGAGCGAGAUGCAUUUCAAUCAGGGGAGCAUUAAUAGAUGAUUUCAUCUUAUUCGUUCGGCUGAAGCAUUUCCGGCUAAACCUAACUUUCGAGGGUUUUUAUCUGAGGACAUUAGAGUCACUCGUUCAUUUGCCUGGAGACUCGAAAACGUUUCGGAAGUGUGGCUCUGCCAAUAACCGCGGUGAUCGAGUGAACUGUAGUCAAAAUCAAAUAGACAGUUACUGUAAGCCAGUUACGUUUGUGUGAAGAAUCGUUAGAACAGAAAGCCGUGCGACGGCUUUCUGUGUCCUAUUUAGGAACCAUCAGUUCAACCACCGUAGCCACAACUCUCCGUCGAGUGUAUCCUUUGGCAAAUUUCCUGGCCAACCGUCAACCCACGGUCAGAAGGGGCCGCGCCGUCACCAUCGCGCCCGAGCGGAAUAAUCACAAGAAGAACCGCUGUUAGUCGAAGUUCAGGAUCACACGACACACCGAUCCGCCCUGCUAGGUGGCUAGGCCCUAGUAGCGAGCAGCGAAGAGACACCAACCGCCAAUCGUCUCCCAACAACCACGCCGUCCGUCUAUCAACCGGCCGGGCAUGCGGUAGCUGAUCCCGCCAAAGUCGAUCGCAAAAAUCCAAUAACAGAUCUGUAAGUACAAAGAACUCUAUUUUUCCCCCAGUCCGUGUGCACAUGUGACGACGACGAGAAAUUUCGUCAAUGGACCCAUAGCGUUUUUAUAUGGUGUUCCCGAAAUUUUAGCUUGCCGGCUAUAUUUUGCAAGCGCUAUUGUUCUGCGAGCUAGGUGCAGACAAUGGAAUUUGGAAUCGUGAGGAAGAAAGACACGCACAUGUAGGAUAGGUAGAAGCCAAGUGAACUCGAUAUUAGUUAAAUUAUUAUGAACUAGAAUAUACGUUUUUUGAAUUCUGAAUUAAAAUCGCUUUAUAUCCCUAUCCGCUUAUUUGAUUCACGGAGAGUAGCAUGGUGAAAGAUUUCAUGUCGCGCGCUUAAAAAUUCAAAUUUUGUCGCCUGCAGAAGUGGGUUGUAGUGAGUAGGUUGAACCGGUUCCAUGACGGUGUCGACAUCUGGUGUAUACUGGCGGUGACUUCCAGUGAUGAUAACCGAAA